CCUACGGGUGGCAGCAGUGAGGAAUAUUGGUCAAUGGCCGUAAGGCUGAACCAGCCAAGUCGCGUGAAGGAAGAAGGAUCUAUGGUUUGUAAACUUCUUUUAUAGGGGAAUAAAGGUAUCCACGUGUGGAUAUUUGCAUGUACUCUAUGAAUAAGCAUCGGCUAACUCCGUGCCAGCAGCCGCGGUAAUACGGAGGAUGCGAGCGUUAUCCGGAUUUAUUGGGUUUAAAGGGUGCGUAGGUUGGUUUGUAAGUCAGCGGUGAAAGUUUGGGGCUCAACCACAGAAUUGCCGUUGAAACUGGAAGACUUGAGUGGGUGAGAGGUAGGCGGAAUGCGUGGUGUAGCGGUGAAAUGCAUAGAUAUCGCGCAGAACUCCGAUUGCGAAGGCAGCAUACCGGG
rnacentral:rRNA from 1 species